GGCGACAUAGCCAAGUGGUAAGGCCGAGGUCUGCAAAACCUCUAUUCCCCAGUUCGACUCUGGGUGUCGCCUCCA
rnacentral:tRNA from 1 species